AACAAACGCUGGCGGCGUGCCUAAUACAUGCAAGUCGAACGGGGAAAGCUUUCGGGUGAGUACUAGUGGCGCACGGGUGAGUAACGCGUGGAUAAUCUGCCUUAGAGUGGGGGAUAACUAGUCGAAAGAUUAGCUAAUACCGCAUAAGACCACAAGACAUGCGGUUCAAGGGGUCAAAGGUUUUUCGCUCUAAGAUGAGUCCGCGUAAGAUUAGCUAGUUGGUAGGGUAACGGCCUACCAAGGCGACGAUCUUUAACUGGUCUGAGAGGAUGAUCAGUCACACUGGAACUGAGACACGGUCCAGACUCCUACGGGAGGCAGCAGUAGGGAAUAUUGCACAAUGGAGGAAACUCUGAUGCAGCGACGCCGCGUGAGUGAUGAAGGCCUUCGGGUCGUAAAGCUCUGUCGCAGGGGAAUAACACAAUGAAGGUACCCUGUAAGAAAGGAUCGGCUAACUUCGUGCCAGCAGCCGCGGUAAGAC
rnacentral:rRNA from 1 species